rnacentral:rRNA from 1 species
AGGACGAACGCUGGCGGCGUGCUCAACACAUGCAAGUCGAACGAAUAUCCAUCUUCGGAUGGUGAAGAGUGGCGAACGGGUGAGUAACACGUGGGCAAUCUGCCCCUCACAUCGGGACAACCUCGGGAAACUGGGGCUAAUACCGAAUACCCACCGACACGGGCAUCCGUGACGGUGGAAAGGAUUCUGGUGAGGGAUGAGCCCGCGGCCUAUCAGCUUGUUGGUGGGGUAACGGCCUACCAAGGCGACGACGGGUAACCGGCCUGAGAGGGCGACCGGUCACACUGGGACUGAGACACGGCCCAGACUCCUACGGGAGGCAGCAGUGGGGAAUAUUGCGCAAUGGACGAAAGUCUGACGCAGCAACGCCGCGUGAGGGAUGAAGUACAUAGAGAUGUAAACCUCUUUCAGCAGGGACGAAGCUAACGUGACGGUACCUGCAGAAGAAGCACCGGCUAACUACGUGCCAGCAGCCGCGGUAAUACGUAGGGUGCAAGCGUUGUCCGGAUUUAUUGGGCGUAAAGGGCUCGUAGGCGGUCUGUCGCGUCGGAUGUGAAAACUCGGAGCUCAACUCCGGGCCUGCAUUCGAUACGGGCAGACUAGAGUUCGGUAGGGGAGAUUGGAAUUCCUGGUGUAGCGGUGGAAUGCGCAGAUAUCAGGAGGAACACCGAUGGCGAAGGCAGAUCUCUGGGCCGAUACUGACGCUGAGGAGCGAAAGCAUGGGGAGCAAACAGGAUUAGAUACCCUGGUAGUCCAUGCCGUAAACGGUGGGCGCUAGGUGUGGGGAGCAGUUUACGCUUUCCGCGCCGCAGCUAACGCAUUAAGCGCCCCGCCUGGGGAGUACGGCCGCAAGGCUAAAAACUCAAAGGAAUUGACGGGGGCCCGCACAAGCGGCGGAGCAUGCGGCUUAAUUCGAUGCAACGCGAAGAACCUUACCUAGGCUUGACAUAUACCGUUUACCUUCAGAAAUGUUGGGUCCUUCGGGGCGGUAUACAGGUGGUGCAUGGCUGUCGUCAGCUCGUGUCGUGAGAUGUUGGGUUAAGUCCCGCAACGAGCGCAACCCUUAUUCUAUGUUGCCAGCGCGUAAUGGCGGGGACUCAUGGAAGACUGCCGGGGUCAACUCGGAGGAAGGUGGGGACGACGUCAAGUCAUCAUGCCCCUUAUGUCUAGGGCUGCACGCAUGCUACAAUGGCCGGUACAGAGGGCUGCGAAACCGCAAGGUUAAGCGAAUCCCAUAAAGCCGGUCUCAGUUCGGAUUGGGGUCUGCAACUCGACCCCAUGAAGUCGGAGUCGCUAGUAAUCGCAGAUCAGCAACGCUGCGGUGAAUACGUUCCCGGGCCUUGUACACACCGCCCGUCACGUCACGAAAGUCGGUAACACCCGAAGCCGGUGGCCUAACCCUUGUGGAGGGAGCCGUCGAAGGUGGGACUGGCGAUUGGGACGAAGUCGUAACAAGGUA